AGUAAAAUGCCUGAAUAAAGGGUUAUCUUGAUAGGAUAAAUUAUGUAUUUGAUACUUUUACUA
rnacentral:tRNA from 1 species